rnacentral:rRNA from 1 species
AUUGAACGCUGGCGGCAGGCUUAACACAUGCAAGUCGAGCGAGCGGCGGACGGGUGAGUAAUGUCUGGGACACUGCCUGAUGGAGGGGGAUAACUACUGGAAACGGUAGCUAAUACCGCAUACCAUCAGAUGUGCCCAGAUGGGAAUAGCUAGUAGGUGGGGUAAUGGCGCACCUAGGAGACGAUCCCUAGCUGGUCUGAGAGGAUGACCAUCAACAAUGGAACGGAAACACGGUGCAGAAUGCUACGGGAGGCAGCAGAGGGAAAUAUUGCACAAUGGGGGAAAGACUGAUGCAGCCAUGGCGCGUGUGUGAAGGAGGCCUUCGGGUUGUAAAGCACUAUCAGCGAGGAGGCGGAACUCGCAGAGGAAGAACCGGCUAACUCCGUGCCAGCAGCCGCGGUAAAAC